rnacentral:pre_miRNA from 1 species
GAAAGAGUGAAGGAGUUCCUUCAGUACUGGCAAAGGUAUGGAGGGUUGCUGAAGUAUCUGCUGAGUCAUUCCUACACACAGAGUAAGGGUUACUCAUAAAAGGCGUUUGCUACUGUACUUGUGUGAAUGAAUGAAGCAGGAGAUAUUUUGCAUCCUGUCUCUUUUGCUUGGACUGAAGGAGCCCCUUCAUUUCUUUCU